ACUCUCUUCCCACCAUUUUCGACUACAAGUGACGGAGGAGAAACGAGGGAGGAAGGCAGCGGCAACACGGAGAGGCAGCCGUAAACCGAGGAUCGCCAAGGAGAGGACUAUCUCCGCAAGUUAAGAUCAGAGCGAGAAAUUCAAGUAAAGGAAAUUAAGCGAACAAGGGACGUAUUCGCACGUCGUUUAAGACCAAGUCAAAGAUUUUUCCCGAAAAGACUUAAGCUAUCGAGGUUGAACGUGUACGAGGAGGCGAAGGUGUUGUUGGGAAAUGAUCAUUAAUAAGUAGUUAGGUAGCCCAAAGUAGUAUGUCUUCAUACAUACUAUUUUGUCUUGGACUCUUCCGCUGCAGUAGAACUAUGUUCUAGGAAUGUAUGAUUUCAGUCUUGACACUCUGACUUUCUUUUGACUAUGUACCCAUUUGCCUUCGAAACUAUUUCCUUGAGUUGAAUUGUUUCUGUUAUGCUUAA